rnacentral:lncRNA from 1 species
AUGGUUGGCGCAUACUCUGGUGUGAAGGUGGGACUCCGCGAAGACGUCGCACAGUACCUGGAAUUGUGUAUUGUGCACAACCUUGUGCUGAGACAACGGAAAACCGCCAUCUUAUUGCUCACUCAAUGCCUCCAUAACACCAAUUUUUCACUCCCGGGCUUUGCAGCAGCCCGGUGUACUUUCCAUAAUACGCCUAUUACACAGGCAUCCUCACUAGCCAUCGCUUACACAAUUACCCGUGUGAUUUUCUCCAUCCCGGCGUGGUUGCCAUCGUCUUCGGUCCCCACCCAGUAUAACUUCGGGAACCCAUGGAAACAGAUGACAUGUGCUAAUAACAGCAUCUUCGGGAAGAUGAUUUUGCUUUUCAUGAAGAAAGAAUGUUUUGAACUGUUGUACUGGAAUUUCAGUGCCUGCAAUGUUGAAGGUAGUUACAGAAAACUUAUUAUCCUGAUGCUGAGAAGCAAACACUUUAAGAGGGACAUCAGCUACUUGUGUCGCAGAGCAGCCCUGUUCCAGAGCAUCACCAGAACUCAUGGCCACAACCAGUGUAACCUCUGCAGUGGGUGUUGUUGUGCUGCCCUCACUAUAUGUGUGAUUCAGUCCUAUCAGUUGUGUCCAACUCUGCACCCCCAUGGACUGUUGCCCUCUGCAAGCUCCUCUGUCCAUGGGAUUUUUCCAGGCAAGAAUACUGGAGUGGGGUGCCAUGCCCUCCUCCAGGGGAUUUUCCCCAACCAGGGAUUGAACCCGUAUCUCUGACAUCUUAUGCAGUGACAGGUAGGUUCUUUACCAUAGUGCCACAGGGGAAGCCCACCAGACAAUGAGCUAGUGUCUUAUUUCACUCUUGUAAUAAUCCAUCAAAGUCCUUAUUAAUACUCUCAUCUCAGUUUAAUAGGAAAAGAGAGAGAGAAAAAGGAGAGUUAGAGGGUGAAUUCAUUUCUUCAACUGAGUGAUGAAAAGAGCUUUGUACCCUCGUCUCCCUGACUUCAAGACCCAGUCUCUUUUCAACCAUUUCACCAUUAAAUCAUGGUGCUAUGUUGCCAAGUAUGGAAGGUUUAAAGUAAGUGAGUGACAAGAUCAAUGCAGAAUUUUGGGUGGAAAAAAAAAGUCUAAACGGGGUGUGCGAUUCUGGAGGGGAAGACACUCUAUUCAUGUCUACCGGAGUUCCUCUGACUGGAAAAUGGAAACCACCUCCCACUUGAUUAAGUGCCUUCCCUGAUGCCUGUCCUCAGAGUCGUUCUCAUUCUCUUCCCUGCUGUGAAGCCAGGUUUAGGAGGAGAUGGAAGAGAUAAGCAGAUGAAUAAAAAUAAGCAGACCAGAUAAUGUUGGCUGAUU